rnacentral:rRNA from 1 species
CGCCUGGGGAGUACGGCCGCAAGGUUAAAACUCAAAUGAAUUGACGGGGGCCCGCACAAGCGGUGGAGCAUGUGGUUUAAUUCGAUGCAACGCGAAGAACCUUACCUGGUCUUGACAUCCACGGAAGUUUUCAGAGAUGAGAAUGUGCCUUCGGGAACCGUGAGACAGGUGCUGCAUGGCUGUCGUCAGCUCGUGUUGUGAAAUGUUGGGUUAAGUCCCGCAACGAGCGCAACCCUUAUCCUUUGUUGCCAGCGAUUAGGUCGGGAACUCAAAGGAGACUGCCAGUGAUAAACUGGAGGAAGGUGGGGAUGACGUCAAGUCAUCAUGGCCCUUACGACCAGGGCUACACACGUGCUACAAUGGCGCAUACAAAGAGAAGCGACCU